rnacentral:ncRNA from 1 species
UAUCUGGUUGAUCCUGCCAGUAGUCAUAUGCUUGUCUCAAAGAUUAAGCCAUGCAUGUCUAAGUAUAAGCACUUGUACUGUGAAACUGCGAAUGGCUCAUUAAAUCAGUUAUCGUUUAUUUGAUCGUACCUUUACUACUUGGAUAACCGUGGUAAUUCUAGAGCUAAUACAUGCGAAAAGUCCCGACUUCUGGAAGGGAUGUAUUUAUUAGAUUCAAAACCAAUGCGGGUUCUGCCCGGUCAUUUGGUGAUUCAUAGUAACUGUUCGAAUCGCAGGGCCUCGCGCCGGCGAUGUUUCAUUCAAAUUUCUGCCCUAUCAACUGUCGAUGGUAAGGUGUUGGCUUACCAUGGUUACAACGGGUGACGGAGAAUUAGGGUUCGAUUCCGGAGAGGGAGCCUGAGAAACGGCUACCACAUCCAAGGAAGGCAGCAGGCGCGCAAAUUACCCAAUCCUGACUCAGGGAGGU